ensembl:lncRNA
GGCACCGACAGCUGAUCUGUCAACCUGUCUGUCUGUCUCUUGUUAACCAUCAGUUUCGGACAACGAAACGGGAAGAGAUUCCGUGUUUUCGCUGAAAUAAAAUACUGUCCAGCGGUGGUGAAGUAUUCAGGCCAUCUGGAGCAAACAGCUCGCACGUAAAUCAUCAUUUCAUACAAAUGUUUUUCGGUUCCUUUGACUCCUGUAAACUAGGAUCACAUAAUGAAUCAGGAGGUCGCUCAGUUUACCAUCAGGGAACAGAUUCUCCUCCAAGGAUGACAAUCAUUGUCGAGGAUAUUUUAAACCCCUGGAUUCUACCCUUGAUUAAGUUUUAUCUGCUGACCCUCAGGAAGGGACCCGACCUCACAGUUGGGAACCCAUGGACUACCAAACAGUAUGAAGACCAUGAUUUUAAAAAAGGUACAACAAAUAUCUUCUUGGUGAGAGGACAGAUGAGAUGUGGGGGUGUAUACUGGGGCACAGGCAUCACCAGUUUCUUUCAAAUCAAAAGCACACAGUAAAUGCGUCUGGGAUAUACCUCCACAGGAAGUGUCCCAGGAGGCAUUUUAAUCAGAUGUCUGAACCAUCUCAACUGGCUCCUUUCGACACAAAGGAGCAGUGACUAAACUCCCAACCCCCUCUGGAUGUAGGAGCUCCUCACCCUACCUCUAAAGCUGAGCCCAGCCACUCUACAGAGGAAACUCAUUUCAGCUGGUUGUUCCUGUGAGCACAUUCCUUCAGGCACCCAUAGAUAAGGAUUGGAAUGUAGAUUGACUGGUAAAUCCAGAGCUUUGUCCAGCUCAGCUUCCUCUUAACCAUGAUGGUUUGGUACACUGCCCACAUUACUGCUGAUGCUUCACCAAGCCACCUGUCCAUCUCUGUGGACAUGUGAUUUAGCACUAUAAAUAUAUGAUGAUGUGUGUGAUAUGGUGAUAUGUUAAUAUACACUGUCCUGACAUUGUCAGAUGUUUGUGCCAACUUCCAGA